UCGCUCCUACCGAUUGAAUGGUCCGGUGAAGUGUUUGGAUCGCGGCGACGUGGGCGGUUCGCUGCCUGCGACGUCGCGAGAAGUCCACUGAACCUUAUCAUUUAGAGGAAGGAG
rnacentral:rRNA from 1 species